rnacentral:tRNA from 1 species
GUGGCUAUAGCUCAGUGGUAGAGCGCAUGCUUAGCAUGCACGAGGUCCUGGGUUCAAUCCCUGUAACUCCA